ACCCGAAGCCGGUGGAGUAACCUUUUCAGGAGCUAGCCGUCGAAGGUGGGACAGAUGAUUGGGGUGAAGUCGUAACAAGGUAGCCGUAUCGGAAGGUGCGGCUGGAUCACCUCCUUUCUAAGGA
rnacentral:rRNA from 1 species